GACGAACGCUGGCGGCGUGCCUAACACAUGCAAGUCGAACGGAAAGGCCCUGCUUUUGUGGGGUGCCAGAGUGGCGAACGGGUGAGUAACACGUGAGUAACCUGCCCUUGACUUUGGGAUAACUUCAGGAAACUGGGGCUAAUACCGGAUAGGAGCUCCUGCUGCAUGGUGGUGGUUGGAAAGUUUCGGAGGUUGUGGAUGGACUCGCGGCUUAUCAGCUUGUUGGGGGGGUAGUGGCUUACCAAGGCUGUGACGGAUAGCCGGCCUGAGAGGGGGGACAGGCACCUGAGUCCUACGAUAGGGCGCAGACGGCAACAGUGGGCAACAGUGGAAAGUAUUGCACAGUGAGCGGAAGUCUGAGACAGCGGCGCCCGGUUCGUAAAGACGGCCAUGGUGGGAGAAAGCGCAUUCGCCUGUGACGAAGCGUUAGUGACGGUACUGAGAAAAGAAGCACCGGCUAACUACGUG
rnacentral:rRNA from 1 species